AUUAUAUUGCAGCAGCCUUUGAAAUAUUUUGGACGCACACACAAUCAGACCUUUGUGAACAACAAUGGCCUUCUAACAUUUACUGAGCAACUGUCCGACAACAUCCCACUUCUGAAUUGUGGAAGAGACUUCAUUGCUCCUCUUUGGACUCACCUUGACAAUAGACGCGGAGGAACUAUCUCCUAUAGAGAGGACACAAGCAGUGCUGUACUGGCACAAGUCACUGCAGCUGUUAAGCAAUACUUCCCUAACAUAACGUUUAGUGCUUCAUCAGCUUUUGUUGCUACCUGGGACAAUGUGCCAUACUCUAAUGGUGGAGGGGUGGUUUCUUUCCAAACGGUUUUAGUCUCCAGUGUUCAUCGCACUUUUAUCCUGAUCAACUAUGGAAACAUUGCAGAAACCGAACAAAUUUGGCUGGCUGGUUACAACACGGCAGACUCGGUCAAUUCUUUCACAAUUCCAGUAACCAAUGCCUCAGAACUCUCAUCCAGCAGUAAUGUCAAUGUGAAUGGUCGCAGCUCUUUCCAUGUUGAUGGCUCAC